rnacentral:rRNA from 1 species
GACGUGAGGGCGCGAGCGUUGUCCGGAUUUAUUGGGCGUAAAGAGCUCGUAGGCGGCUUGUCGCGUCGGAUGUGAAAGCCCGGGGCUUAACUCCGGGUCUGCAUUCGAUACGGGCAGGCUAGAGUUCGGUAGGGGAGAUCGGAAUUCCUGGUGUAGCGGUGAAAUGCGCAGAUAUCAGGAGGAACACCGGUGGCGAAGGCGGAUCUCUGGGCCGAUACUGACGCUGAG